rnacentral:lncRNA from 1 species
CUUUUCAAUCAUUUCCUUAAUUCUUGUGCACAUGUCUAAAACGACUUAUAUUAAGGAACGGAUGGAGUAUCAUAUAAAGGACUAUGAAACUCCUCCCUCCCUCCAGACUGUUUGAAUAUUACUAUGUACUCCCUCUAUCCCAUUAUAUCUAACGUUUUAUAUAUUUUCACACAGAUUAAGAAUAGAUACAAUUUUACUAUUUUACCCUUAUUUAAUAUUUUGAUAAAAUACACGACGGUCAUAUUCCCAACUCUUCUUCUCUGCUCUUCUCCAACUGUAUUUCAACUCUUCUUCUCCAACUAGCUCCCUCUAGCAGCUCAAUCGCUAUCUCUCUCUGUGGUGUCAAUUUAAGUGGCGGAGUAUAUCGGUUAUGAUUCUACUUGCUGCAAAUUACUCCAUGGUUGGUAAGGUUAGGAGGAGAUUUCGGCAGGUUCCAAAUCCCACUCUCAGAUUCCUCAGAUCAAAUUCCACCCAAAGAUUUUGUUGAUGAAAAUUACCAAUAAACGUACCCCGAUCCUAAACGACGGCAGAUUUGGUAAGGUUAGGAGGAGAUUUCGGCAGAUUCCAAAUCCCACUCUCAGAUUCCUCAGAUCAAAUUCCACCCAAAGAUUUUGUUGAUGAAAAUUACCAAUAAACGUACCCCGAUCCUAAACGACGGCAGAUUUGGUAAGGUUAGGAGAAGAUUUCGGCAGAUUUAGGAGGAGAUUUCGGCAGAUUUUUGUAUAUAUAUGAGAGAGAAAGUGAAUGGGAUGGAUUUGGUAUUAAUGGUGGUGGAGAAAGAAGGGUGGAGAACGAAAAUAGAUAGGCAAAAUAUUAUUGGUUUUGUAAAACGUUAAAUAUUUUGGAAAAAAAGAAACUUUCUAAAACGUUAAAUAUAAUGGGAUGGAGGGAGUAAAAUUUAUCUAACCAUCAUGUGUAAUAUAUAUAAUCUAGAAAUUUAUGAACAAUAAGAAGAGUCCCACCACAUAUUAAUAUAUCUGGACAUUAUUAGAAUUAAGUACAAU